rnacentral:rRNA from 1 species
GACGAGGGAUCCUAGCGUUGCUCGGAAUUAUUGGGCGUAAAGCGGGUGUAGGUGGCUUGGUAAGUCGGGUGUGAAAGCCCAGGGCUCAACCCUGGAAGUGCAUUCGAUACUGCUGAGCUUGAGUGCGAGAGAGGUUAAUAGAAUACCUGGUGUAGUGGUGAAAUACGUAGAUAUCAGGUGGAACACCGGAGGCGAAGGCGGUUAUCUGGCUCGACACUGACACUGAGACCCGAAAGUGCGGGGAUCAAACAGG